rnacentral:rRNA from 1 species
GAUCUCAGUUCGGACUGUAGGCUGCAACUCGCCUACACGAAGUUGGAAUUGCUAGUAAUCGUGGAUCAGCAUGCCACGGUGAAUACGUUCCCGGGUCUUGUACACACCGCCCGUCACACCAUGGGAGCUGGUAACACCCGAAGUCAGUAGUCUAACCGCAAGGAGGACGCUGCCGAAGGUGGGAUUAGCGACUGGGGUGAAGUCGUAACAAGGUACC